GACAUGUAACAGACAUGAAAGAGACAUGACACAGACAUGUAACAGAUGUGUGACUGACAUGAAACAGACAUGAAACAAACAUGUAACAGACAUAUAACACACAUGAAACAGACAUGUAACAGACAUAUAACAGACAUGAAACAGACAUGUUACAGAUAUGUAACUGACAUGAAACAGACAUGUAACAGACAUGUAACUGACAUGUAACACACAUGAAACAGACAUGAAACAGACAUGUCAUACAUGUGAAAUACACAUGAAACACACAUGUAAGUGACAUGAAACAGACAUGUAACAGACGUGUAACUGACAAGUAACUGACAUGAAACAGACAUGUAACAGACAUGUAACACACAUUUAACACAGAUGUAACAGACAUGUAACACACGUAACAGACAUGUAACACACAUGUAACACACAUGUUAAACACUUGUUAUACACAUGUAACAGAUAUGUAACACAGAUGUAACAGACAUGCAACAGAUAUGUAACAGACAUGUAACACAGAUAAAACAGACAUGUAACAGACAUGUAACACAGAUGUAACAGACAUGUACCACACAUGUAACACACGUGUUACACACGUGUAACAGACAUGUAACACAGAUGUAACAGACAUGUAACAGACAUGUAACACAGAUAAAACAGACAUGUAACAGACAUGUAACAGACAUGUAACACAGAUGUAACAGACAUGUAACAGUCAUGUAACACACAUAGAACAGACAUGAAACAGACAUGUCAUACAUGUGAAAUACACAUGAAACAGACAUGUAAAUGACAUGAAACAGACAUGUAACAGACGUGUAACUGACAAGUAACUGACAUGAAACAGACAUGUAACAGACAUGUAACACACAUUUAACACAGAUGUAACAGACAUGUAACACAGAUGUAACAGACAUGCAACAGACAUGUAACACACAUGUAACACACGUGUUACACACAUGUAACAGAUAUGUAACACAGAUGUAACACAGAUGUAACAGACAUGUAACACAGAUGAAACAGACAUGUAACACACAUGUAACACACGUGUUACACACAUGUAACAGACAUGUAACACAGAUGUAACAGACAUGUAGCACACAUGUAACAGACAUGUAACACAGAUGUAACAGACAUGUAACAGACAUGUAGCACACAUGUAACAGACAUGUAACACAGAUGUAACAGACUUGUAACAGACAUGUAACAGAGAUGUAAGAGACAUGUAACAGACAUGUAACAGACAUGUAACGCACAUGUAACAGACAUGUAACACAGAUGUAACAGACUUGUAACAGACAUGUAACAGACAUGUAACGCACAUGUAACUGACAUGUAACAAAGAUGUAACAGACAUUAAACAAGGCUGUAACAUGAGUGUGAAGUGUGACUGCACUGAUUUUGUUGUGACUCUGUGAAUCUGUCAGUGUUUAAAAUGAAGCUCAGACCUUUAUUGUGAAAAUCUCUCGGCUCCAUUUCCUUCAGUUUGACUCUUCGAUCAGCUUUUAUCAGUCUGAGGCAACAGUGUGUGUGUUUGUGUGUGUCUGUAUGUGUCCUGCAGGUGGAGCUCUCAUCCUCUCUCUGCAGACAGUAAACUAGAUGGGGGGGCAUUGUAUGAGUCAAAAAUUAAAAAUAGUUCUUGAUAAAUUCAGAGCGGUAUGCAGGGCAUGUGAGAGAGAGAGUGUGUGUGAGUGAGUGUGUGUGUGUGUGUGUGUGUGUGUGUGUGUGUGUGUGUGUGUGUGUGUGUGUGUGUGUGUGUGUGUGCGUGUGUGUGUUGUUCAUGAAUAUCUGAGACUAAUUACUGUAAGGAACCAUGAAGACCUCAGAUGUCCACAAAGUCAGACAAGAACACAAUGAGGCUUUAUCAAAUACACAAAGACACACAACUACAACAACACAACAAAACAGCACAACAUGACAACCCUGAGGUGUAACAACAAACAGUCAUCACAGUAUUUGACACCAGUUUACAGUAACAGCACUAACAGCAGUUACAGUAGUUGACAUUAGUUUCCACACAGCCUUCCCCUCCAAUCACAGCGCAGCUCUACAGUCAGCUGACCCACACUGAAGAACAUCCUGUGUAGGUUUGUAGAAACUCUGAUUUCAUGAUGUCACACAGAUCGGACCGGUCCCUAACGGGUCUCAACGGGUCUGAAGGAGUCCACCACUGCAGACCUCCAUCACUGUGGUGUCCUCAAACACACCGCCAGCAUGUCCAGGUUCCAUCAGAUCACUGUGUGUGAGUGUGUGUGUGUGUGAGUGUGUCUGUGUGUGUGUGUGAGUGUGUCUGUGUGUGUGUGCGUCUAACCUGAUGUCUGAGUCCAUGUUUUAUCUAAACAGAAUCACUUAUUGUGUUUAUGGAUCUGCAGCUGCAGCAGAUAAUCCCUGAGCACAAAGACCUGUGUGUGUGUGUGUGUGUGUGUGUGUGGGUGGGUGAGGAGGCCUCGGGGUUCCUCAGUGGAGGAGGAGGAGGAGCAGAAACAAAAAGGCAGAGGUUACAUAAGCUCCUGAAUCUUCCUAAAAUACCUGCAUUAGAGGAAACUAAUCUGCUUACACACACACACACACACACACACACACACACACACACACACACACACACACACACACACACACACACUCAUGAUGAGAUCCACUCUGCUGCUGUGACAGGUGCAUCAGGACCAAGAUUACACAGCCGCUCACACACGCUGCUGCACUCAUCUUCAUCUGUGGGGAUAAUCUGAGAUUCCUGAUGAUGGAGCGACAGAAAAAACUACAACAACCAAAUAUGAACCUUUAUAUAAGGGUCUGAGGGGGCGGAGUCUAACGCACAACCGCACAAACAUGAACACACACACACACACACACACUGACAGAAGAAAACUCAUGAAGACAUCAUCAGACGGCAGGAGAAACAAAUAAAGUGUUAAUGUGAGAAACUGAAGAUGAUUGUAAAUAUUCUGAUCAUCAUGAUCAAUGAAAUGAUCAUCAUUAUAAUAAUCAUUAUUAUAGUUAUGGAAAUUACACAUACAUAUUAAAUAUAUAUUACAUUAUAUAUCUCAUGUAUAAAUUAUAUAGGGAUGCAUAUACAUAUAUGUAUUUAUACACAUAUAUGUAUAUAAAUACAUAUGUGUGUGUAUAUAUAUAUAUUUAUACACACAAACACAUACAUUUUUAUAUAUAUAUAUAUGUGUGUGUGUGUGUGUGUGUGUGUGUGUGUGUGUGUGUGUGUGAGCUGCUGUCCACCAUCCUGUCCCCCCCUCCCCGUCGUCAGGGUGAGGUGGACUUUAGUCCUUCAGUAAUCGGUCAGGGGACUGCAGGGCGAACAGGGUCUCAUUGAUGGACGGGUCUGAAGACAGCACAUCUGGAGCCCAACAAGAAGCCCAGUGUUCUUCAUAAACACACACACACACACAACUGUCCCCAAUCGUCCUCUUAGUCCAAACCUUCUCCCAGAGGCACAGUGGGGCACAGUGGGGGACAGUGGGGGACAGCGGGGACGAUCAAAUCUCCGUCUGUUCACUGCUGAGGAAAAAAAAAACACGUUAGUUUUUCUCCUGAUGAAGAUUCGACAAAAACGAGGCCGUGACCCACAGGAGAGGAGACGGACACCAGCUCUGUGUCCACACAGACAGAGGACAGUCUACAGGAGACAUCUAUAAAAACGGGUCUACAUCCUGACAUUCCACCAGAUCUACAUGAAGAACAUCUGUUUACAGAGACGAGAGGACAGCUGAUCAGCUGAUCAGUUAGCAGCUGUUUCUGUUGACUCUGAUUGAUCAGUGAUGGUGGUCUACAUCCACGUUUCAGUCCCAGCUCAUCAGAUCUUCUCUUCAGAACCGCAGUCUGUAUUUACUCUGGACUCCUCGGUUCCUCCAGUUUACAGAUCUGAAGCUGAAAAGUUCUCAGUAAUUCUGCGUUUUUUUCUCCACUUCCUCAAACCAACAUCGUUCACAUUCAGCAGGAGAGUCGCUGUGAUGACGCUCGGUGAUCUACUCAGUCUCUGUCCUCCCAUUGGCUGUAUCAGCUGUCAAUCAUAGAAAACAUGAACCCCCUAAUAACUUUUAAAAAUACUGCAGCCCGUCACCAGAGGGCGCUGUUCUCGAUACAGUCUAUGAUCAGGAUCUGUUUCAGGGGGCGUGUCUAUAUGAGACCGCCGUCACGUGACCUCGAUCAUCGCUCCUCUGAUUUCUCUACCCUCUCUUUCCUGGGAAACUGAUUUAAUCAAUGAUGAAUAUUGAUUACUAAUUAAUCAGUUUUUAUGAUCAAUGAUUUAAAAAUCUCAUCAGAUUAUUUUCAUAAACUCACUCAGAGGAGAGGGCUUUACACACACACACACACACACACACACACACACACACAGGCAGGGGGCCAGAGUGUGUGUGUGUGUGUGUGUACGUGUGUGUGUGUGUGUGUACGUGUGUGUAGUGGUGCCGUAAAUCCAAAUGUCCAAAAAUAAAAGCCUAUUAGAGGAGUGAAACAUUUUGAUCUGAGAGAAACAAUGUCAACAUCCAAACACAUCUGCUGCAGCUUAUCUACACACACACACACUCACACACACACACACACACACACACACACACACACACUCACUCACACACACACACACACACACAUACACACUCACACACACACACAUACACACUCACACACACUCACACUCACACACACUCACACACACACACACACACACACACACACACACACACACACACAGAUAUGUCACAGAUCAGUCCGAGUGCAGGAUUUAUCUUCCCUCCAAAAUAAAAGCACAGAUUAGUCUGCAGGUUUCGCUCAUGGAUACUUUUAAAGGAACAGUCUGUGGUUUUUCUGCAACAUGGUUCUGUGGGGUUCUGUGAGGUUCUGUGAGGUUCUGUGAGGUUCUGGUCUACAGUCUUGUCUUGUCUCAGUGUUUGAACGCUGGGAAAUAAGUGCAGCUCGCCUGGUCUAGCACAAAUUUUUUUUUCUAAGUGUCUUUUCUAAGAAAUAUGUUUUUACAGUUCCUCUGUGGUCCCAACAAUCCUGGAUUAAGUAUCAAUAAUAAACAGGAAACAGGGAAUAAACUACUUCAAAAUAAAACAGGAAACACAGGGAAUAAGCUACUUCAAAAUAAAACAGGAAACACAGGGAAUAAGCUACUUCAAAAUAAAACAGGAAACACUGAUAUAAGAAAUGAAACUCUGAGAACAUGAGGGACCCGGGUCAGGACUUCAGGGGAACAGGAACACAGAAAAUCAACUCCGAUAACCUAAACCAGGGAAAACUAUCAUGACCUUUUUUCUCUUUAAUGAUAUUCUAACCCCCAACAUUUGGGGGCGUCGCUUUCAAGGGGUCACUUCCUGUCCCUUGACUGUCUGGCUGUGAAGUCAUGAUGUCAGAGUUAGAGUUAGGUGAGCUGAUUACUUAAAGGUAGAGCUGGGCGAUAAAACAACAACCAUAUAUAUCAAUAAUUAAUAUAUCAAUAUAAACAUGAUCAAUAUGCUUUUCAAUAGUCGUCAUUCUGACAUGUUUUGGUCGACUAUACGAACAGCCAAUGAAAAGGGGAGUUUCUCCGGGUCUGAACCAAUCAUGUUCUGAAUUAGAACCAAGUAUCAACCAACUGCUGCGUCGUAGCAGACAGCAGCUCCACCCAACCAUAGCACUUUAACAGGUGAAGCCGACAGCACUGUUGGUGAGAAACAAAAAAAAAUGAGUGCUACCCCCGACAGAAAUGACCAUGAAGGCUCAACAGAUGACCACAUCAAUGUCAACCACAACACUGGCGUUAGGAAAACGUCGGUGGUGUGGAGGUAUUUUGGUGUUUGGAGGUCGGACAUGAAGCAGAGUAAUGUGGACUGUAAAUUAUGUCGAGUACAUGUUCUCACAAAGUCGGGGAAUACCUCAAAUCUUUUUCACCACCUGAAUAAACUCUGUUACAUUUCAUUUUUUAUAUCCUGAUAUUGAUCGAUAUCAGCUGAUAUGAAAAUAAUAGAUCAUGAUAAACUUUUUCACAGAUCGUCCAGCCCUACUCUCAGCCUGGUCUGAACCCCCUUCACCUCCUCCUGUCGGCCUCCUGGUCUCAUAAUGACUCAGCAGCAGCUGUGACCAGAGUCUGAAUCUGUGACUCUGAUUGGUCCGUCCCUCUCCUGGACACCUCAGCAGAAAACACUGGACAGCUGGAGCGCCUGUUUGAAUCUACACUCGGUCCUGUGUCC